rnacentral:rRNA from 1 species
UGGGGAAUAUUGCACAAUGGGGGAAACCCUGAUGCAGCGACGCCGCGUGAGCGAAGAAGGUUUUCGAAUCGUAAAGCUCUGUCCUAUGAGAAGAUAAUGACUGUAUCAUAGGAGGAAGCCCCGGCUAAAUACGUGCCAGCAGCCGCGGUAAUACGUAUGUUGCGAGCGUUAUCCGGAAUUAUUGGGCUUAAAGGGCAUCUAGGCGGUAAGACAAGUUGAAGGUGAAAACCUGUGGCUCAACCAUAGGCUUGCCUACAAAACUGUUGAACUAGAGUACUGGAAAGGUGGGUGGAACUACACGAGUAGAGGUGAAAUUCGUAGAUAUGUGUAGGAAUGCCGAUGAUGAAGAUAACUCACUGGACAGAAACUGACGCUGAAGUGCGAAAGCUAGGGGAGCAAACAGG